GGCCCGUUAGCUCAGUUGGUUAGAGCGUCGUGCUAAUAACGCGAAGGUCGCGGGUUCGAUCCCUCACGGCCA
rnacentral:tRNA from 1 species